GUAACGGUUGUAGAAAGUUAACAGUGGCGACGAGAAAGUGAAACGAACCCACAUACAGUUCAAGCUCAAACGGAAAAUUCUAGAGUGAGCUACGUCAUCAUCAUUGUUCGAUCGACAUUUUCUUCUGUCGGUAUCUCUUGUGAAGAACCGUGAAGUGCUACAAACAAAGAGAGCAGAGAGUGGUUUACGAAGGAGAUUCCGUGAGCUUCUCGAGCUUCUACAGUGAGCAUAGUCGCAGGCAAAAAGUGAUAGCGAGUGAGAACCCUGCCGAGAGUCAUCCGGCGGAGAAAUAUACAAUAUACCUACGUCAACCGGAAAAGCUUAGAACAUCUGCUGGGAGUGAGAUUUAUGCUGUCUAGCUGAGCAAGGUGCAUGACUACUUGUGACAGCUGGAAUAAACAAAAUCGACGAUCGAACGGAGUGUAGAAUCUACAUCCAGUGCGAACGGAGAGGCGUAUCAACACUAUUUAUUGGAUCAACAGAGCAAGGUCGGCGGUGACAGCAACCGUCGACUGGUGAGAAGUGUGCCGGUAGUGAGACUGAGCAGCGAGUCUGACGAGAGGUUGCAUCGUUGUCAAGUGAGAAGUUGCAUCCGCAAGAGUUGAGUGAGUGAGCGGUAAUUAACCUCAGCGAACUGUCCUUCUAUGCAUUUGUCGAAAUGCGAAGGCCAGAGAAUACCGACGAGAACUUGGACGAGAACGUACUUCUUGGUGUUUCAGGGCGGAACGCCGCGUCAGGAGCUGUUGGUGAAACACUAUCCCGUGUUUGCUGCAUGAUAAUCACGGAGGAAAACUAGAGGGAUCUAAAAACCCGCGAAUCCCUGGAUCCGCUGAUGGAAAGCGCAGCGAUUAAUUUGUUUAGAUUUAACGCCGGGAAUACGACUUGGGAUGAUGGGUUAACUGAUGAAAUAACACUACUUAGGCUAACAAGAAAUGUAUCUUACUCAAUGUAUAUCGUAAUAUUUAUCUUGCAGUAAAUAAA